AUUCAGGUAAAUACAGGUAAAUGGUAUAAAAAAAUAUUUAAAAAAAAAAGACUUUUAAUGAUAAAGACAGUUUUUGUUUGCAUAAUAAAACAUAUUCCUCAGAAAACCAUACAAAGUAUGCUAAAACUUCGUUAAAAAACAGUUAUGUUUGAGGGUUUGGAUGGGGUUAAAUGAUUAAAAAAUAAUGCCGUUAAAAAAUCAAGAUUAGAGAAUAACGGGCAAAAAAAAAUAAGAUUAGAGAAAUGUGUGGUCUAAUUUUUUGAAGAUAAGAGAAGAAAGGGGUUAAUUUUUUGAAGAUUAGAGAAAAAAGGGGUGAAAAUUAAAUGUUUACAGAAUAACAGACCCAACAUCCAGACCCUCAUGUUUCUCUCAACAUAAUUAUUUAAAAAGGAGUAAAAUUGCGAGAGACAGUUUUAAGAAUUAUACACUAUAGUAAAGUUUAAAUUCUGUCCAUAUGAGUUGUUAUCCUGAGCAGGAUAAGUUAUUAUUCAAACGCAC
rnacentral:lncRNA from 1 species